GGGGCUGUCGUAUAGCUUGGUUUAGUAUUCGUGCCUAGGGCGCACGCGACGGGGGUUCAAAUCCUCCCAGCCCCA
rnacentral:tRNA from 1 species